AUACGGAGGAUGCAAGUGUUAUCCGGAUUCAUUGGGUUUAAAGGGUGCGCAGGCGGAUUGGUAAGUCAGGGGUGAAAUCCCACAGCUCAACUGUGGAACUGCCCUUGAUACUGUCAGUCUAGAGUAUAGUUGAAGUUGGCGGAAUGUGUCAUGUAGCGGUGAAAUGCUUAGAUAUGACACAGAACACCGAUCGCGAAGGCAGCUGACUAAGCUAUAACUGACGCUCAUGCACGAAAGCGUGGGGAUC
rnacentral:rRNA from 1 species